rnacentral:rRNA from 1 species
UGCAGUCGAGCGGUAACAUUUCUAGCUUGCUAGAAGAUGACGAGCGGCGGACGGGUGAGUAAUGCUUGGGAAUAUGCCUUAUGGUGGGGGACAACAGUUGGAAACGACUGCUAAUACCGCAUAACGUCUACGGACCAAAGGAGGGGACCUUCGGACCUUUCGCCAUUUGAUUAGCCCAAGUGAGGUUAGCUAGUAGGUGAGGUAAGAGCUCACCUAGGCGACGAUCUCUAGCUGGUUUGAGAGGAUGAUCAGCCACACUGGGACUGAGACACGGCCCAGACUCCUACGGGAGGCAGCAGUGGGGAAUAUUGCACAAUGGGCGAAAGCCUGAUGCAGCCAUGCCGCGUGUGUGAAGAAGGCCUUCGGGUUGUAAAGCACUUUCAGUUGUGAGGAAAGGGGUGUAGUUAAUAACUGCAUUCUGUGACGUUAACAACAGAAGAAGCGCCGGCUAACUUCGUGCCAGCAGCCGCGGUAAUACGAGGGGUGCAAGCGUUAAUCGGAAUUACUGGGCGUAAAGCGUUCGUAGGCGGUCUAUUAAGCAAGAUGUGAAAGCCCAGGGCUCAACCUUGGAACUGCAUUUUGAACUGGUAGACUAGAGUACUGUAGAGGGUGGUGGAAUUUCCAGUGUAGCGGUGAAAUGCGUAGAGAUUGGAAGGAACAUCGGUGGCGAACGCGGCCACCUGGACAGAUACUGACGCUGAGGAACGAAAGCGUG